GUUGAACAUGGGCCUGGAAAUCUUGGAACCUAACACCUGCAUUCGUGGGUGUUGUACCAGCCGAAGAAUCCCCAUUCAUCUCCCUCCUCCUUCUUAUUCUCUCUCUCACCCUAUUGCUCGAGGGGCUGAAAGUGUGGUGUAUGAAGCCAUUCUUGAUGGUAAAAAAGUUGCUGUUAAAAAACCCAUCUUGUCCACAUCUGAAGAUAUUGAUAAAUUCCAUAAAGAACUGCAAUUAUUGUGCACAUUGGAUCAUUGGGGGAUAGCAAAGCUAGUGGGGGCACACGCCAAGCCGCCAAAUUACAUGUUUUUCUUUGAAUACUAUGAGUCUGGAAAUCUUGCCGGGAAAUUACACGUGGAUGAAUGGAGUCCAAGUAUCAGAGAGGCACUUGAAAUUGCAGCUCAUUUAGCAAAGGCCUUACAGUACCU
rnacentral:misc_RNA from 1 species